rnacentral:hammerhead_ribozyme from 1 species
GUGCUGAUGAAGAGUCCCAAACUAGGACGAGACAGCUGUCCAGUAC